rnacentral:lncRNA from 1 species
AAAAAAAAAAAAGAAACACUAGACAGGAAAGCAGCAAGGAUGUAUAAGAACUUUAAAAAGCCAUCAACCAAAAGAAUCUAAUUAUCACUUGAACCCAGGAGGCGGAGGUUGCAGUGAUCCAAGAUCACGCCACUGCACUCCAGCCUGGGCAACAGAAUGAGACUCCAUCUCAAAAACAAACAAACAAACAAACAAAUUUCUAAUAUUGGUAAUUUGUAUCUUUCUUUUUCUAAAAAAAAUUGGUUAACCUGGCUAGAGAUCUG